GUGAGACCAAGGUCUCUCUAAAUUGUUUUGUCUCUCUCCAGUUUCGAACCUAUUGGUAAAUUGGAAAGUCCUUUUUCAAAACAUAAUGGUAAUAUAGAUGAGCUCUUUUUUUAACCCUAUUGGUAUUGAUAUCAUAGUCUUUCUGAAACAUAUUGGUUGUCUACUGUGUAAAUACAGUAUAAAUACUGGAGCUUGAGCUCCGGGUGUCAGAUCACUUCUGAGAAUUCUCCUCGGAGUGGAUCUCGUGUGGUGGAACGGAACCAAUAAAUCUGGACCCUUGCUUCUUCUCACUCACGGCUGGUGUGUUUUUUUCAAUCUCCAACUGGGUUCGGAGAUAGAGGACAAUCCACAGGAUUAUGCUCUUGCUUUCCUCUGCCACACAUGUUUUCAUGGAGAUGUCAGUGAUCCUGACCCUUUCCGAUCUCCGGACCUGCCUGAUCCAUCCUGAUGUUCUACCUCUGGAUGGAGCUCUCAUCUACUGGAGGCUACAGCCUGGAGAUGCUGAGGACGGUACCGCUUGAAGUACCAUGGAAAUGGUUUUGGACCGCAAUUCCACAUGGACGUUCUCGCUGACAUUGCUGGGGCUACGGUUGCUGCGAUGGCCUUGGGACUGCAAUUACCACAUGUAGUUUUACACUCAGGUCUCAGACUUCAUAUUAAACCAUAAUGAACUUUCCUUUACUCUCACACUAUCCUGUGUCACCCAGAUGAGGACGGGUUCCUUCUGAGUCCGGUUCCUCUCAAGGUUUCUUCCUAUUAGAUUAAAGUGCCUCCUGCUGUUUUCCUUCGCUGCACCUCGUGUCAGUAUGAGUAAUAAUGUCAUAACUAUUAUAGUGAAAAAGCAGGAAUUAAAAUUCUGUUGGAAUUUUUUCUUAAUUAUUUCCAUAGGACUGAUGAAGCCGUUUGGAUAAGAAUGUUUUCAUGUUUAUGACGAGUCAUCACUCUGGACUCCAGUCCAGGUUCCUCAUUCUUGAAACUUGGACUAUAAAACUUCUGAGCCGUAAUCACUUACUGCUUUAAUCACAGGAGAAACAACACCACAGUUCCGUUUAUGACACUGUUUGGAUUAAGAACCCUGUGAUGGAUCAUGAUCACUGUUGUCAGUUAUCAAAUGUAGUAAAAUUUUAAUUCUCAGUGACAGGCAUAAGCUAUUCUGUGUAAGUCAUAAACAUAAUUACUGUAAAUUACUGUUCAUUUUUAUUAUUUGUUAUGCUUAUUUCUCAUGUUCAUUUCUCAUAAUGUAUGA
ensembl:lncRNA